rnacentral:lncRNA from 7 species
UCUUACAGGUGCAGAAAUUAGCAACAAAGUCAGCAAAAAACUGGAACCUAUGCUAGGCCUUGAUUCAAGAUGUUUGACAACCUCCCUGCAUUUAAAGGACUGUGGUUCUGGCCAUUACUUGCAGAGCAGCCAAGGGUGGCUAAUUUUUGCCUUUUUAAGGAAUUUCUUUUGGACGUGACUUGUUCUUGCUCUGGUUUAAUCAUACCAGCUCUCUGUAGGAAAAAGAAAGAGCAGUGGAAAAGGCAUUCUCAUUCUGCAAGACAAACCAUCGACGUUGCGCUUGUGUGGGCAAAUGGACUGCCUGAGUUACUCUGGAGCAGUGAUGGCAGUGUUGUAGUGCUUUUGUUGAAGGCCCUCAUACCAAUGAUGAAGUGGGAUGUGAUAUCCUGCCAACCUCAUUGUAGCUGCCUGGCACCUGGGCUCUCCCAGCCAUCCCCUUGGUCUGGCCUGCAACCCCAAACUGGUGGAUGUAGGAUCACUACAUGACUGAGCUUGAACGAUGGCUUCAGAAGUAGAGGAACCUCUCUCUUGUGGAGGUGACUGGCACAGGGACAUCCCAGGACUCUUGUUGAGACUGGGGAAAUCUAGCAAGCAGAAUGGACAGCAUCCUCCAGGCUGGAAGGGUUAACAGCAUUGCCGCUUCUCCUCCUCUGUCUUUACUGUUAUCUUGAUUUACAUGUUUGAAAGUAGGGUUGAUUAAUAAUCCACAAACCUUAAUCCUGGAAGGAGAGCUAAGGCACUUAACAUACCAGAGCAUACUACGACGCAACAAAUAAGAAAUGAUGAACAGGACUAACAUUUCUGCUCCUUCCUGAAUAGUGCAAGAGCAACGUCAGAGGUUCCCUGCACUUCCUAGCCCCCAGUGGUGGGGUGAAGACUACCAAAUGGGUUCUACAUCAAAAGGCCACUGUUAAUUCUUUCUGCUGCAGGUACCAUGGUGAUGAGUCUGGCACAAGUGCCUGGAAAUAUAAAUUUAGCUAGCAUGCUGUUCCUGGAGCUGGAUAUAAAUGUCUUCAUUCCAUGUGUGCACUGUUACUCCACAGAUAAGGAAAAAGUGACCUAUAAAGCCUUCCCUGACCUAAGAAGUCAAUUAAAGUACAAAAAAAGAGCAGCUGAGUACAGCAGGGGAAUUCAUCCGCUGUUUAUCAGCUUGGACCUCAAUGCUCACCCACUCAGCACUGGAGUAAGUAUAGAGGGAGGACAAUACAGCCACAGAAGACAGAAACAAAACCAGGAAAGUAAAAUGGAGGGAAUUCAUCUCUGGGGGAAUUGCACAGUGAAUGCUGAGUUACAUCGGUUUCCAAUAUCUUUUCAGUUCAUAAAGACUGAUCACUACCAGCUUUGUUCUGCGGCCUCUGGUGAAAAAUAAAGGAUCCACUUCAUCC